UACGUAGGGGGCAAGCGUUGUCCGGAUUUAUUGGGCGUAAAGAGCGUGUAGGCGGCCUGACAGGUCUGCUGUGAAAACUCGAGGCUCAACCUCGAGAUGUCGGCGGAAACCGUCUGGCUAGAGUCCGGAAGAGGAGAGUGGAAUUCCUGGUGUAGCGGUGAAAUGCGCAGAUAUCAGGAAGAACACCUAUGGCGAAGGCAGCUCUCUGGGACGGUACUGACGCUGAGGCGCGAAAGCGUGGGGAUCAAACAGG
rnacentral:rRNA from 1 species